AUUGAACGCUGGCGGCAUGCCUUACACAUGCAAGUCGAACGGCAGCACGGGAGCAAUCCUGGUGGCGAGUGGCGAACGGGUGAGUAAUACAUCGGAACGUGCCCAAUCGUGGGGGAUAACUACGCGAAAGCGUAGCUAAUACCGCAUACGAUCUACGGAUGAAAGCAGGGGAUCGCAAGACCUUGCGCGAAUGGAGCGGCCGAUGGCAGAUAGGUAGUUGGUGAGGUAAAGGCUCGCCAAGCCUUCGAUCUGUAGCCGGCCUGAGAGGGCGACCGGCCACACUGGGACUGAGACACGGCCCAGACUCCUACGGGAGGCAGCAGUGGGGAAUCUUGCGCAAUGGGCGAAAGCCUGACGCAGCGACGCCGCGUGAGGGAUGACGG
rnacentral:rRNA from 1 species